CCCACCUGUCCAGUUCUUACAGCGAUGAUGGAGCCGAUGAUGUUCAGUCUGCUGGUGUCUCAGUUGCCGAUCAUCGAUCGUCGAUCAUCCCACUGGACCACAGUCCAAUCUGUGAGGAUGAAGUCAUCAGACGACCUCAGCCAGAUGUUUUAGCCAUGCGGGCGCCAUGGCUCUAUGGACUAUGCUGGUCAGCUGGUCCUUCUCUUCGGUCAGGACUAAAGGAUCCCAACAUCUGCAGGCAAGAGAUGGAUCAUCUAAAACCACAGAAGACAAAUUAAUCUCUGAAUUAAAACACAAGG